rnacentral:rRNA from 1 species
GGGUUGUGAGGUUAAGCGACUAAGCGUACACGGUGGAUGCCCUGGCAGUCAGAGGCGAUGAAGGACGUGCUAAUCUGCGAUAAGCGUCGGUAAGGUGAUAUGAACCGUUAUAACCGGCGAUUUCCGAAUGGGGAAACCCAGUGUGAUUCGUCACACUAUCAUUAACUGAAUCCAUAGGUUAAUGAGGCGAACCGGGGGAACUGAAACAUCUAAGUACCCCGAGGAAAAGAAAUCAACCGAGAUUCCCCCAGUAGCGGCGAGCGAACGGGGAGGAGCCCAGAGCCUGAAUCAGUGUGUGUGUUAGUGGAAGCGUCUGGAAAGGCGCGCGAUACAGGGUGACAGCCCCGUACACAAAAAUGCACAUGCUGUGAGCUCGAUGAGUAGGGCGGGACACGUGGUAUCCUGUCUGAAUAUGGGGGGACCAUCCUCCAAGGCUAAAUACUCCUGACUGACCGAUAGUGAACCAGUACCGUGAGGGAAAGGCGAAAAGAACCCCGGCGAGGGGAGUGAAAAAGAACCUGAAACCGUGUACGUACAAGCAGUGGGAGCCCUGAUUUAUCAGGGUGACUGCGUACCUUUUGUAUAAUGGGUCAGCGACUUAUAUUCUGUAGCAAGGUUAACCGAAUAGGGGAGCCGAAGGGAAACCGAGUCUUAACUGGGCGUUAAGUUGCAGGGUAUAGACCCGAAACCCGGUGAUCUAGCCAUGGGCAGGUUGAAGGUUGGGUAACACUAACUGGAGGACCGAACCGACUAAUGUUGAAAAAUUAGCGGAUGACUUGUGGCUGGGGGUGAAAGGCCAAUCAAACCGGGAGAUAGCUGGUUCUCCCCGAAAGCUAUUUAGGUAGCGCCUCGUGAAUUCAUCUCCGGGGGUAGAGCACUGUUUCGGCAAGGGGGUCAUCCCGACUUACCAACCCGAUGCAAACUGCGAAUACCGGAGAAUGUUAUCACGGGAGACACACGGCGGGUGCUAACGUCCGUCGUGAAGAGGGAAACAACCCAGACCGCCAGCUAAGGUCCCAAAGUCAUGGUUAAGUGGGAAACGAUGUGGGAAGGCCCAGACAGCCAGGAUGUUGGCUUAGAAGCAGCCAUCAUUUAAAGAAAGCGUAAUAGCUCACUGGUCGAGUCGGCCUGCGCGGAAGAUGUAACGGGGCUAAACCAUGCACCGAAGCUGCGGCAGCGACACUAUGUGUUGUUGGGUAGGGGAGCGUUCUGUAAGCCUGUGAAGGUGUGCUGUGAGGCAUGCUGGAGGUAUCAGAAGUGCGAAUGCUGACAUAAGUAACGAUAAAGCGGGUGAAAAGCCCGCUCGCCGGAAGACCAAGGGUUCCUGUCCAACGUUAAUCGGGGCAGGGUGAGUCGACCCCUAAGGCGAGGCCGAAAGGCGUAGUCGAUGGGAAACAGGUUAAUAUUCCUGUACUUGGUGUUACUGCGAAGGGGGGACGGAGAAGGCUAUGUUGGCCGGGCGACGGUUGUCCCGGUUUAAGCGUGUAGGCUGGUUUUCCAGGCAAAUCCGGAAAAUCAAGGCUGAGGCGUGAUGACGAGGCACUACGGUGCUGAAGCAACAAAUGCCCUGCUUCCAGGAAAAGCCUCUAAGCAUCAGGUAACAUCAAAUCGUACCCCAAACCGACACAGGUGGUCAGGUAGAGAAUACCAAGGCGCUUGAGAGAACUCGGGUGAAGGAACUAGGCAAAAUGGUGCCGUAACUUCGGGAGAAGGCACGCUGAUAUGUAGGUGAAGUCCCUCGCGGAUGGAGCUGAAAUCAGUCGAAGAUACCAGCUGGCUGCAACUGUUUAUUAAAAACACAGCACUGUGCAAACACGAAAGUGGACGUAUACGGUGUGACGCCUGCCCGGUGCCGGAAGGUUAAUUGAUGGGGUCAGCGCAAGCGAAGCUCUUGAUCGAAGCCCCGGUAAACGGCGGCCGUAACUAUAACGGUCCUAAGGUAGCGAAAUUCCUUGUCGGGUAAGUUCCGACCUGCACGAAUGGCGUAAUGAUGGCCAGGCUGUCUCCACCCGAGACUCAGUGAAAUUGAACUCGCUGUGAAGAUGCAGUGUACCCGCGGCAAGACGGAAAGACCCCGUGAACCUUUACUAUAGCUUGACACUGAACAUUGAGCCUUGAUGUGUAGGAUAGGUGGGAGGCUUAGAAGUGUGGACGCCAGUCUGCAUGGAGCCGACCUUGAAAUACCACCCUUUAAUGUUUGAUGUUCUAACGUUGACCCGUGAUCCGGGUUGCGGACAGUGUCUGGUGGGUAGUUUGACUGGGGCGGUCUCCUCCUAAAGAGUAACGGAGGAGCACGAAGGUUGGCUAAUCCUGGUCGGACAUCAGGAGGUUAGUGCAAUGGCAUAAGCCAGCUUGACUGCGAGCGUGACGGCGCGAGCAGGUGCGAAAGCAGGUCAUAGUGAUCCGGUGGUUCUGAAUGGAAGGGCCAUCGCUCAACGGAUAAAAGGUACUCCGGGGAUAACAGGCUGAUACCGCCCAAGAGUUCAUAUCGACGGCGGUGUUUGGCACCUCGAUGUCGGCUCAUCACAUCCUGGGGCUGAAGUAGGUCCCAAGGGUAUGGCUGUUCGCCAUUUAAAGUGGUACGCGAGCUGGGUUUAGAACGUCGUGAGACAGUUCGGUCCCUAUCUGCCGUGGGCGCUGGAGAACUGAGGGGGGCUGCUCCUAGUACGAGAGGACCGGAGUGGACGCAUCACUGGUGUUCGGGUUGUCAUGCCAAUGGCACUGCCCGGUAGCUAAAUGCGGAAGAGAUAAGUGCUGAAAGCAUCUAAGCACGAAACUUGCCCCGAGAUGAGUUCUCCCUGAGACUUAAAGUCUCCUGAAGGAACGUUGAAGACGACGACGUUGAUAGGCCGGGUGUGUAAGCGCAGCGAUGCGUUGAGCUAACCGGUACUAAUGAACCGUGAGGCUUAACCUUACAACGCCGAAGCUGUU